rnacentral:rRNA from 1 species
GGGGGGGGCAAGCGUUGUUCGGAAUUACUGGGCGUAAAGGGCUCGUAGGUGGCCAACUAAGUCAGACGUGAAAUCCCUCGGCUUAACCGGGGAACUGCGUCUGAUACUGGAUGGCUUGAGAUUGGGAGAGGGAUGCGGAAUUCCAGGUGUAGCGGUGAAAUGCGUAGAUAUCUGGAGGAACACCGGUGGCGAAGGCGGCAUCCUGGACCAACACUGACACUGAGGAGCGAAAGCCAGGGGAGCAAACGGGAUUAGAUACCCCGGUAGUCCUGGCCCUAAACGAUGAAUGCUUGGUGUGGCGGGUAUCGAUCCCUGCCGUGCCGAAGCUAACGCAUUAAGCAUUCCGCCUGGGGAGUACGGUCGCAANAGNGG